UCCAGACUCCUACGGGAGGCAGCAGUGGGGGAUAUUGCACAAUGGGGGAAACCCUGAUGCAGCGACGCCGCGUGAACGAAGAAGUACCUCGGUAUGUAAAGCUCUAUCAGCAGGGAAGAAGAUGACGGUACCUGACCAAGAAGCUCCGGCUAAAUACGUGCCAGCAGCCGCGGUAAUACGUAGGGGGCGAGCGUUAUCCGGAUUCACUGGGUGUAAAGGGAGCGUAGACGGCCGAGCAAGCCAGGGGUGAAAGCCCGGGGCCCAACCCCGGGACUGCCCUUGGAACUGCUUGGCUGGAGUGCGGGAGGGGCAGGCGGAAUUCCUGGUGUAGCGGUGAAAUGCGUAGAUAUCAGGAGGAACACCGGCGGCGAAGGCGGCCUGCUGGACCGCGACUGACGUUGAGGCUCGAAAGCGUGGGGAGCGAACAGGAUUAGAUACCCCGGUAUG
rnacentral:rRNA from 1 species